rnacentral:misc_RNA from 1 species
GAUGAAGAACGUAGCGAAAUGCGAUAAGUAAUGUGAAUUGCAGAAUUCAGUGAAUCAUCGAAUCUUUGAACGCACCUUGCACCCUUUGGCAUUCCGAAGGGUAUGCUCGUUUGAGUGUCAUUGUACUCUCACACUCCCAAUUGCUUUGGAUUGGGAGCGGUGGACUUGGGUGUUGCUGCUUGACUGAGGCUCACCUGAAAUAUGUUAGUGCACCUCUUGAUUGGACAUAGUACGGCGUGAUAAGUGUCUUCGCCGGCUCCUCGCAAAGAGGGUGGCCGAUCGGGAGCUCUGUUGCUUCAAACUGUCUUCAGACAAUCUUCUGGCGACUUGACCUCAAAUCGAGUAGGACUACCCGCUGAACUUAAGCAUAUCAAUAAGCGGAGGA